CGGGGUAUAGCUCAGCCUGGUAGAGCGCCAGCUUUGGGAGCUGGAUGUCGUGGGUUCGAAUCCCUCUGCCCCGACCA
rnacentral:tRNA from 67 species